CGCGAAACCAUUACCGCAUGCGCCAGAAAAUGUUCCUUAAAAUCGCGGAUUCUAGAAGGUUAUUGGUAUAAUUAUGCUUGGUUAACACUAAAUUUCAAACUAAAAUCUGUAUGUAGUCAAACAAGAAAAUGUUUACUAAAUAUUCUUCUGAAUAUUCAAUAAAGGGUAGACGAGAGACCUGUUCAGUGUAACAAAAAUCAAUGUCAGUAUUUGAGAAACCUAGGACCAAUCAAUGCAAUUGUUAUUCGAUAUUCAAAUGAGUCAGGAGUCAAAAUAUUAGAUGAGUAACUACAUCGAUUUUACUACAUAUGUGACUUAACAGGAUAUUUGAGUUGAGAAAUGGCAAUGUUUCAAACGAUUAGAUCUUGUACAAUCAGACUUGCGAAAACGUUAUUGAUUUAUAAUAUAUAUAUAUAUAUAUAUAUAUAUAUAUAUAUAUAUAUAUAGACGUAUAGGCGGUCAUUGUGUAGCCCGUUCUAUAUACAAAUAGCACUUUGUGUAGCCCAAAAUGACGUUGUUCAGCCCAGAACCGGGCUAAACAACGUUUUACGUGUAUUUUGUCGCUAAUCGAUGAAUAACGAUACAAGAUGCCCCCCCUCAAAAUUUUUCGUGGGCUUAAUAUGGACAUAUAUAGUACUGUUUUUAUACAAAUUAGUUUUUUAAAGUCACCAGUUGGUGGCGCGCUGUAGUAAGUGUAUAUAGAUCGGAUACUCUAUGUAUUUUACUGUUCUUGUGAAGCCCGAUAUUUGGCAACAGCUCAACCAUAGUAAUAACAAAGAGGGCGUAAAUAAAAUGGAUCCAGAGUAUUCAAUAACAGAAGUCAAAGAAAGUGGCAGAUUUUGAGAUAAUGGAAAAAAUAGCUCGUUUCGCUUAAAGUACCAUAAUACGAUAUUUGUAUUUAUUAAAAUAUCAUUUAAUGCUUUUAUAGAA